rnacentral:rRNA from 1 species
GACGAACGCUGGCGGCGUGCCUAAUACAUGCAAGUAGAACGCUGAAGAGAGGAGCUUGCUCUUCUUGGAUGAGUUGCGAACGGGUGAGUAACGCGUAGGUAACCUGCCUUGUAGCGGGGGAUAACUAUUGGAAACGAUAGCUAAUACCGCAUAACAAUGGAUGACCCAUGUCAUUUAUUUGAAAGGGGCAAAUGCUCCACUACAAGAUGGACCUGCGUUGUAUUAGCUAGUAGGUGAGGUAACGGCUCACCUAGGCGACGAUACAUAGCCGACCUGAGAGGGUGAUCGGCCACACUGGGACUGAGACACGGCCCAGACUCCUACGGGAGGCAGCAGUAGGGAAUCUUCGGCAAUGGGGGCAACCCUGACCGAGCAACGCCGCGUGAGUGAAGAAGGUUUUCGGAUCGUAAAGCUCUGUUGUAAGUCAAGAACGAGUGUGAGAGUGGAAAGUUCACACUGUGACGGUAGCUUACCAGAAAGGGACGGCUAACUACGUGCCAGCAGCCGCGGUAAUACGUAGGUCCCGAGCGUUGUCCGGAUUUAUUGGGCGUAAAGCGAGCGCAGGCGGUUUGAUAAGUCUGAAGUUAAAGGCUGUGGCUCAACCAUAGUUCGCUUUGGAAACUGUCAAACUUGAGUGCAGAAGGGGAGAGUGGAAUUCCAUGUGUAGCGGUGAAAUGCGUAGAUAUAUGGAGGAACACCGGUGGCGAAAGCGGCUCCCUGGUCUGUAACUGACGCUGAGGCUCGAAAGCGUGGGGAGCGAACAGGAUUAGAUACCCUGGUAGUCCACGCCGUAAACGAUGAGUGCUAGGUGUUGGAUCCUUUCCGGGAUUCAGUGCCGCAGCUAACGCAUUAAGCACUCCGCCUGGGGAGUACGACCGCAAGGUUGAAACUCAAAGGAAUUGACGGGGGCCCGCACAAGCGGUGGAGCAUGUGGUUUAAUUCGAAGCAACGCGAAGAACCUUACCAGGUCUUGACAUCCCGAUGCUAUUUCUAGAGAUAGAAAGUUACUUCGGUACAUCGGUGACAGGUGGUGCAUGGUUGUCGUCAGCUCGUGUCGUGAGAUGUUGGGUUAAGUCCCGCAACGAGCGCAACCCCUAUUGUUAGUUGCCAUCAUUCAGUUGGGCACUCUAGCGAGACUGCCGGUAAUAAACCGGAGGAAGGUGGGGAUGACGUCAAAUCAUCAUGCCCCUUAUGACCUGGGCUACACACGUGCUACAAUGGUUGGUACAACGAGUUGCGAGUCGGUGACGGCAAGCUAAUCUCUUAAAGCCAAUCUCAGUUCGGAUUGUAGGCUGCAACUCGCCUACAUGAAGUCGGAAUCGCUAGUAAUCGCGGAUCAGCACGCCGCGGUGAGUACGUUCCCGGGCCU